AUUGAACGCUGGCGGCAUGCCUUACACAUGCAAGUCGAACGGUAACAGGUCUUCGGACGCUGACGAGUGGCGAACGGGUGAGUAAUACAUCGGAACGUGCCUAGUAGCGGGGGAUAACUACUCGAAAGAGUGGCUAAUACCGCAUGAGAUCUACGGAUGAAAGCAGGGGAUCGCAAGACCUUGUGCUACUAGAGCGGCCGGUGGCAGAUUAGGUAGGGGGUGGGGUAAAAGCUUACCAAGCCGACGAUCUGUAGCUGGUCGGAGAGGACGGUCCGCCACACUGGGACUGAGACACGGCCCAGACUCCUACGGGGGGCAGCAGUGGGGAAUUUUGGAAAAUGGGCGAAAGCCUGAAGAAGCAAUGCCGCGUGCAGGAUGAAGGCCUUCGGGUUGUAAACUGCUUUUGUACGGAACGAAAAGCCCUGGGUUAAUACCCUGGGGUCAUGACGGUACCGUAAGAAUAAGCACCGGCUAACUACGUGCCAGCCGCCGCCGUAA
rnacentral:rRNA from 1 species